UGCUGUGUCUUGGCUGGAGCCCUAUUUGGUUCUAGUAAUUGUUGCACUUCGGUAAGUUCUUUCUCUACUUGACUUGAUUAGAUGCUCUAUCAAGUAGAUUGGCUACUGUUUUGGUUUUAUUUAUGCAUUAAAAUCAUUGCUUGGUUGAACUGAUCUAUUGGCAGCAUAAUAUUGAUGAUUUGCUAAAAAACCUGUCCUGGGUAGGUUUUCGGUUAGUCCAUGGUCAUUUUUGCUCAAUCCUGAGUUCCUGACUGCAUAUUGAUCCUGUGCUUGGCUGUAUGGCUCUGUCCUGGGUUUGGUUGUGUUAAUUAAUCUCUACCAGAAAUUCACUUAAUGUAAAUGUCUUCAAAAUCCAUGAGCCUGGCAGGUAACGGAGCUAGCUAGAUUAUGUAUUAUUGUUGGUUACACUGUUGCACUUGAAGUAGUACAAAUUGCUUCAGCAAGUGCUUAUCUUAACCAGCAAUGUUCCUUGUGUUCAUCGCCAGAGUAUUUCAUCGGCCAUGCUACUGUUUUACAGGUUUACUUUUUGGACCAAGCUGGUGCUUUUCCAGGACUAAGGAGCAAGGAGUUGUCAUGGCUCGGUUGCCGACCGUCUGUCUAUGCGGCUGCUGCCACUUUGGCUGUGGCCUAUAUAAUGUUUUGGUCCUGGUAAUGUCUUGAGUAGUCGUCGACAUGGUGGUAGCAUCGUUCUUGUGAUGCUCCAGGUUCAGGAACUGUAGUAGUAGUAGUUUCUUUUUUGAGGGGUUGUAGUAGUAGUAGCAGCGUAGUUUUUGGGCCGUGUCUUGUUUGGGGCCCUAUUUGACUUUGGUGGGAUGAUGACCGGCUAUUUUGGUCUUGUGCAGACCUCCUCCUCGCGGGGUGACCGACUGUGUAUUUAUGCAGGGUGGCCCGGCUGCUUGGUUCCGGUCCGGCGUCUGCUGUAAUAGUAGUGUGUUGAAGCAAGUGGUGUAAUUAUAUUCGGCAGUAGAGUGUAACAAGAGUUGCAAGGAAGUUGUUCGUUGUUGUUUGCUUUGCACACACAUGUAUGUUGCAUUUCUAGUCUUGCUCUGAU
rnacentral:lncRNA from 1 species